rnacentral:miRNA from 1 species
ACACAGGAACAAUACUAACUCAUU